rnacentral:lncRNA from 1 species
AAUAUGAACAAUAUUUGUGCUAUUUAUUUACUCAUAUACCUAAUCGUAUUUCUAUUACAACUGAUAUUGGUAGAAGUAAUAAUGACUGUGAUUAUCUAAUUGUAACAAGUCAUUGGAUAGAUGAAGACUGGACAAUGCAAAACGCAUAAUUGCAUAUAUAAUAAUUAAUUCACGGCACACAGGUAGGUUUAUAGCUAACACUGUUUCAGA